rnacentral:lncRNA from 1 species
UGCAACACAAGUUUUUAACUUUGUUUAAACAAUAUGGAUGCUCUUCAUGCAUCUUUUCAUGUUUUCAGAUCCUUUCUAAAACAUAGCUGUUUUAGACUAUUUAUAUACAUAAGAAAAACACAAUUGGAAAGACAAGAUACAAAGUUUCAAAUUCAGGAGUAAGGACUCUGAUGAAGAUGCAUCAUCAUUAUCAUAGGAAUUUGUUUAGAGUCACAAUCUAUUUGAGAACAGAAAAUAGGGAACCGAUACCACCAUCCCCCUAUUUUCUCACUAACUAUACAAGUACUUUACCCAUCAACUAUGCCAGAAAACAAUAUUUCAAAAUUUAAUAACAAGGCAAAACCAUAAAAAUGAAUCAUGACAAAGAAUUACGCUUUGCCCAGCUGUCCCAAAAGAAACAUUUUGCUUAGUUGUCUUGCCAGAUUAACAG